UGAAUACCAGACGCUACGGCGUUGAAGCAGUGUAUGUCAGACUUCCAAGAAAAGCUCGCAAUGUCCGAAAUAAAAUAAUGCCUGUACCAUAACCGACACAGGUGGGUAGGUAGAGUAUACUAAGGGGCGCGAGAUAACUCUCUCUAAGGAACUCGGCAAAAUAGCUCCGUAACUUCGGGAGAAGGAGUGCCUUAUUUUAAGGUUGCAAUAACAAGAUCCAAGCAACUGUUUACCAAAAACACAGGUCUCCGCUAAGUCGUAAGACGAUGUAUGGGGGCUGACGCCUGCCCAGUGCCAGAAGGUUAAAGAAGUUGGUUAGCUAUUGCGAAGCUGAUGACUGAAGCCCUGGUGAACGGCGGCCGUAACGAUAACGGUCCUAAGGUAGCGAAAUUCCUUGUCGGGUAAGUUCCGACCCGCACGAAAGGCGUAAUGAUUUGGAUACUGUCUCGGAGAGGGGCUCGGUGAAAUAGACUUGUCUGUGAAGAUGCGGACUACCUGCACCUGGACAGAAAGACCCUAUGAAGCUUUACUGUAACUUGAAAUUGAAAUUGGACUUUAUUUGCGCAGUAUAGGUGGGAGGCGUUUGAAGAUAUUCUUGCGGGAAUGUUGGAGCCAUUAGUGAGAUACCACUCUUGUAAUGUUAGAUUUCUAACUUUGUACCAUAAUCUGGUCAAAGAACAGUUUCAGGCGGGCAGUUUGACUGGGGCGGUCGCCUCCCAAAUGGUAACGGAGGCGUACAAAGGUUUCCUCUGAACGUGUAGAAAUCGUAUCUAGAGUGUAAAGGCAUAAGGAAGCUUGACUGUGAGACCUACAAGUCAAGCAGGGACGAAAGUCGGUCUUAGUGAUCUGACGGUACUGAGUGGAAAGGCCGUCACUCAACGGAUAAAAGUUACUCUAGGAUAACAGGCUGAUCUCCCCCAAGAGUUCACAUCGACGGGGAGGUUUGGCACCUCGAUGUCGGCUCAUCGCAUCCUGGGGCGGUAGUACGUCCCAAGGGUUGGGCUGUUCGCCCAUGAAAGCGGUACGCGAGCUGGGUUCAGAACGUCGUGAGACAGUUCGGUCCAUAUCCGGUGUAGGCGUUAGAAUAUUGAGAGGAGCCUUCUUUAGUACGAGAGGACCGAGAAGGACAUACCUCUGGUGUACCAGUUAUCGUGCCAACGGUAAACGCUGGGUAGCUAUGUAUGGAGAGGAUAACCGCUGAAAGCAUCUAAGUGGGAAGCCCACCUCGAGAUGAGUAUUCUCAUC
rnacentral:rRNA from 1 species